CCUACGGGUGGCAGCAGUGGGGAAUAUUGGACAAUGGGCGCAAGCCUGAUCCAGCCAUGCCGCGUGCGGGAAGAAGGCCUUCGGGUUGUAAACCGCUUUUGUCAGGGAAGAAAAGGUUCUGGCUAAUACCUGGGACUCAUGACGGUACCUGAAGAAUAAGCACCGGCUAACUACGUGCCAGCAGCCGCGGUACUACGUAGGGUGCAAGCGUUAAUCGGCAUUACUGGGCGUAAAGCGUGCGCAGGCGGUUAUGGAAGACAGAGGUGAAAACCGCGGGCUAAACCUGGGAACUGCCUUUGUGACUGCAUGGCUAGAGUACGGUAGAGGGGGAUGGAAUUGAGCGUGGAGCAGUGAAAUGCGUAGAUAUGCGGAGGAACACCGAUGGCGAAGGCAAUCCCCUGGACCUGUACUGACGCUCAUGCCCGAAAGCGUGGGGAGCAAACAGGAUUAGAUACCCCAGUAGUC
rnacentral:rRNA from 1 species